ensembl:lncRNA
AUCUCUGCCUAGGGUUAGUAUUUCGCACGCUCUGAUUGAAUUAGGGCACUAAUCCACCAGUGGGGUUGCCCGCAAAAAAUUCUUCAAGACCUUUGCUAUAUGUUAUCAGGAAAAUAAAUAAUAAAUCUCUGCUUCUCACAGAGAUGGGGAUUGGUUUUAUUAGGUCAGGAUGUAUUCAAAAUUAAAAUACGGUGCCAUAUUAUCAAGUUAAAUCCAAGAGUGACAAAAACAUGCCAUCCUGAAGUUUCAUACCAAGAGGUAUCAAUGGCAGAUUCUUCUUUUCCCUUCUCACCUACCCCUUGCGUUUGAUAGCCUCAUGGCUAGCACAUACGGCUAGGAAACAGAAGACCCAGCCUCAGUUUCCAACACUGAGCCCCAGGUAAUUCAAAUCAGCGCCCUAGGGGCACACCAGUCACUAAGCACAGGUUAAUUUGCUCCUCCCUGCUCCUGUUAGUGAGGCCAUGCUGUGCACUGCGAUCCACCCCGCUUCAGAUCCACCCUGCUGUGACAGCUUUGUUCCGCAACGUAUUCCUGCAUUUCUUCAGUGGUUGUUGAAAGUGGGAGAAAACCGGUCAUCUGGGAGCCAAAGUGUGCAUCCAGGCCUCUCCACCCCUGUGCGAGCAGCCAGCUCACCAAACGAGGAUCCCCCUGGUUCUCCUUCUGAACUCGUGUGUCUUAAACUUCUGUCAGCACAGCAGACUUGCUUCCACAGGUUGGGUAUAAAAUAUUUCCUGCUCAGCUUAUGGCAUCGUGCUUUGAGCAUUUUGCUGUACUUAGCAUCCAUAUGUAAUAUAUUUUUCAAAACAGUUUUUCAGGGAAGGUGAGUGAAUGUGUGUGUUCUUAACCUCACUCAAUGGACAAAAUGGACUCCAGGUUUUGCAUCUCAUUUAUCCACAAUAAUAGUGAUGAAGUCAAAAAUCCAAUUAAAGAUUUUUAUUUAUUUAUUUUUUUUAAGUAAGGUCCAUUCGCAAUCAAAAACUGCAACUAGUAGUUGUUCUGACGCAAUCACUGUUCCCUAAAAAAAUGGAUCGUUACCUGACCACAGGCAUCUCCAGAACUUCUCAGCAAUAUCUGAACUUUACUGUAGUUGGAUGAUGCUCUUGAAUGUUCUGAGGAAACAGCAGUAGAUGGGGGGGGUUGUUUUAUUGAAUUUGAAAAACAAGCAUCUCAACUAAAUGUAUUUUAUAUUUAAUUAAUUUCAAAAGUUGUAACUCUUAUUUUCUAAUUCAGAUCUCAAGGAUUAAUGUAUUUUUCAACUCAGAUAUUAUCAGACAGCGUUAAAGUAAUAUUUCUUCUCCUUGGUAAGCACAAAACAAAAUUAAAGAAAUUCCCAAAACACAGUCAAUGCUCUACCUGAGGGUUGAAUAACGAGGCCCCAACUUUACACACAAAAGGCUCGCUGCCACCAGAGGGGCACAUUGCCUAACCCCACUCAGUUCCCUCACUCCUGCGCACAAGCAGAAACCUCACUGCCAAGCUGAUUUUGGUAUCUUUAUACCAUGCUGACGUUCAAAAUGCUGAAAGCUUUUUCAUCUCCGGUGUACUGAAAAUGCAUCUGGUUCUAUAAAAAAUGGUAUUCUGUAACACAACUGGUUAAAAUCUUUAGGACAACUUAUAAUCAGAGAACGUAAAUAUUUCAAACUGAUUAGGGGAAGGCAACGUCUAUAGUUUGUUUUCUUUAAGAGUUUCUUCUGCUACAAAAUUGGAAAACAAACAAGCAACAACCAAACCAUAAAGACAUUACAAAAUAGCAAACAAUAUUCAGACAGGAACUUCAAAACAAUCAGGAAGCAUUAAGCAGUGCAGUACUAGCCUCCUAAUGAC